GUGCUCUCUUUGCAGCACGGACAGUAAAUUGAGUGAUAAAGAGAGGAGCAUGGCCUCUACACAAGGAUGACACGGAAAUUCACUAAAGCUUUCCAUAUUAAA
ensembl:snRNA U6 U6 spliceosomal RNA